CCAGACAGCCAGGAUGUUGGCUUAGAAGCAGCCAUCAUUUAAAGAAAGCGUAAUAGCUCACUGGUCGAGUCGGCCUGCGCGGAAGAUGUAACGGGGCUAAACCAUGCACCGAAGCUGCGGCAGCGACACUGUGUGUUGUUGGGUAGGGGAGCGUUCUGUAAGCCUGCGAAGGUGUACUGUGAGGUAUGCUGGAGGUAUCAGAAGUGCGAAUGCUGACAUAAGUAACGAUAAAGCGGGUGAAAAGCCCGCUCGCCGGAAGACCAAGGGUUCCUGUCCAACGUUAAUCGGGGCAGG
rnacentral:rRNA from 1 species